AGAACUUAGCAGNGAAUGCUUUGGUGCCUUCGGGAACUCUGAGACAGGUGCUGCAUGGCUGUCGUCAGCUCGUGUUGUGAAAUGUUGGGUUAAGUCCCGCAACGAGCGCAACCCUUAUCCUUUGUUGCCAGCGGUCCGGCCGGGAACUCAAAGGAGACUGCCAGUGAUAAACUGGAGGAAGGUGGGGAUGACGUCAAGUCAUCAUGGCCCUUACGAGUAGGGCUACACACGUGCUACAAUGGCGCAUACAAAGAGAAGCGACCUCGCGAGAGCAAGCGGACCUCAUAAAGUGCGUCGUAGUCCGGAUUGGAGUCUGCAACUCGACUCCAUGAAGUCGGAAUCGCUAGUAAUCGUAGAUCAGAAUGCUACGGUGAAUACGUUCCCGGGCCUUGUACACACCGCCCGUCACACCAUGGGAGUGGGUUGCAAAAGAAGUAGGUAGCUUAACCUUCGGGAGGGCGCUUACCACUUUGUGAUUCAUGACUGGGGUGAAGUCGUAACAAGGUAGGCGUAGCGAG
rnacentral:rRNA from 1 species